CUCAGUACGGCGAGUGAAGCGGCAAAAGCUCAAAUUUGAAAUCUAGCACCUUCGGUGUUCGAGUUGUAAUUUGAAGAUGGUAACCUUGGGUUUGGCUCUUGUCUAUGUUCCUUGGAACAGGACGUCAUAGAGGGUGAGAAUCCCGUCUGAUGAGAUGCCCAUUCCUAUGUAAGGUGCUAUCGAAGAGUCGAGUUGUUUGGGAAUGCAGCUCUAAGUGGGUGGUAAAUUCCAUCUAAAGCUAAAUAUUGGCGAGAGACCGAUAGCGAACAAGUACAGUGAUGGAAAGAUGAAAAGAACUUUGAAAAGAGAGUGAAAAAGUACGUGAAAUUGUUGAAAGGGAAGGGCAUUAGAUCAGACUUGGUGUUUUACGAUUAUCUUCUCUUCUUGAGUUGUGCACUCGUAUUUCACUGGGCCAGCAUCGAUUCGGAUGGCAAGAUAAUGGCAGUUGAAUGUGGCUUCACUUCGGUGGAGUGUUAUAGCUUCUGCUGAUAUUGCCUGUCUGGAUCGAGGGCUGCGUCUUUUGACUAGGAUGCUGGCGUAAUGAUCUAAUGCCGCCCGUCUUGAAACACGGACCCA
rnacentral:rRNA from 1 species